rnacentral:pre_miRNA from 1 species
CUCGGGGGGAGGAGGAUCCCUCAGCCCAGAUUGCAAGAGGGUGCAGGCCAGGCCGAGGGACCCCACCAGUGCACG